UGGGGAAUAUUGGACAAUGGGCGCAAGCCUGAUCCAGCAACGCCGCGUGGAGGACGAAGGUCUUCGGAUCGUAAACUCCUGUCAGGGGGGACGAACGGACGUCGGUGAACAAUCGGCGUCUCUGACGGUACCCCCAGAGGAAGCCCCGGCUAACUCCGUGCCAGCAGCCGCGGUAAUACGGAGGGGGCGAGCGUUAUUCGGAAUUAUUGGGCGUAAAGGGCGCGUAGGCGGCUUGGUAAGUCAAAGGUGAAAUCCCUCGGCUCAACUGAGGAAUUGCCUUUGAAACUGCCUGGCUUGAGGCCGGGAGGGGGUAGCGGAAUUCCCAGUGUAGCGGUGAAAUGCGUAGAUGCUGGGAGGAACACCAGUGGCGAAGGCGGCUACCUGGACCGGUUCUGACGCUGAUGCGCGAAAGCGUGGGGAGCAAACAGGAUUAGAUACCCUGGUAGUCCACGCUGUAAACGAUGGGUGCUCGGUGUCGCGGGUAUCGACCCCUGCGGUGCCUUAGCUAACGCGUUAAGCC
rnacentral:rRNA from 1 species